rnacentral:tRNA from 1 species
GCCGGAGUGGCGGAAUGGCAGACGCGCUGGACUCAAAAUCCAGUGGGCUUCGGCCCGUGUGGGUUCAACUCCCACCUCCGGCA